UUCAAGUGCCUUUGUCUUGUCCAGUCCCGUCGUCAGUCGAGUCCUUCAGUUCAUUCUGAGCCAAUCCGGACAAGAUCCCAGUCGAACCCUUCGAAGACACUGAAAAAUUUGUAUAGCUUAUUAUUAAUAACAUUGUAAGGAGGCAAAACCCCAUCAAGUAGCUAAAUCUUGGGAAGCAUUUAAGCAGCAUGUCAGAAACAAAACGAUGGGGAAAAACCGCCGGGGCUGUCCUGACUGUCGCCGUCGUCGACAUUGACAGUGAUUACAAGCUAAAAGUAUGAAAAACAGCAGAAACUACUUAAGCACAAGAAAUAACAAAAGCCCUGACCGAACCAGGCCAGUUCGGCGAAGUUUAGCUGGGGAAUGGCUCGACGGCUGUAGACUGUAGACAAAUUUUUUGCAUAAACACAGACGACAAAGCCAACUACUGACUGCACUUAAGACAAGAGUCCGGUGGCGGUGGGGGUGGGGCGGUGUAUAAACGGAUGGGAGCAGAAUCGAAAGGACCAAGGGACUGAAGCCAAAUCGAAGGCGAAAGCCGAAAGCUGAUGCCAUCGAAGCCAUGAAGAAGGAAUUUCCUCAAUUCCUCGAUGUGAGAUGCGAAUUUUUCAAUAAAUGCAACCAUUGGGGAAUGGAGCAAGGCCACCAGGGGACCAACGGACCAACCGACCGACCGACCGUAUUAUAAUUUCGGAUGGGGCAGGACGAGCGUCGUUUAAAAUAUGCCUGGGCGGGGCAGGACUCGCCUCCGACUGAGUCCCGGACUAGGAGCAGGAAGCACAUAAGUAGAAACGGCUCAAAAUGCAAAGUAGACGACAUCCGCUUUGAGAUUGGAUGACGUUCGUCCUCGCCAUCGCCAUCGUUGGCGUCGCCUUACGUCGUCGUCCUCGCCGUGAAGUAUUAAAAGCAAAUAAGUAAUAAAAAUAAUAAUGGAG
ensembl:ncRNA lncRNA:CR45825 long non-coding RNA:CR45825